rnacentral:lncRNA from 13 species
GAAAUCUUUCUUGGCUGUCCCAGACUGGAUUGGGUGCUUCCUCUACACUUCCUUUGGUUAGAGCUCUACUCACGCUGUGUCAUGGCUCCAUGAAGCAGAAGCAAUUCUAUUUCUCUUAGCAUCUAGAGUGUCCAGCACAUUGCCUGCCUCCAUGAGAGACUUCAUACCUGUUUGUUGAAUCCAUGAAUGCUGCAGCUGAGGCCUUUGCUUGGAUAAUUUCCCUCACGUCAGCUCUAGGAGGUAGGAAGUGUUGGAACGACUACCAUCCAGUUGACAAAACUGAAGCUAAAUUGCUCAGCAUCACACAGCCAGUAAGUGCUGGAGGCACAAUUGGAACUCAGGCAGUCAUGGAUGGUAACAUCUUCACUGGUAAGCACAGAGCAACAGCACAACCUCAAAGCAAAUUUGAUAUAAAUGCCACUGGUAACUUCUGUGCUUGUUAACUGAGUGUGGUUACAAAUAUCAUACCUAAAAACUCUAAUUAGGCCAUUCUCCUUUUCCAACACCUCUCUAAUCUCAUGAAGGCCUAAAGAACAAAUUCUCAGUUCUCUGUGAUAGCAAGACCUGCUACCUCUGCAUGCUGUUCCCACCGUUACUCAAUGUGAGCACAACCUUUUGCUGGUCUCUAAAUGAGCCUCGAUUCUUUCUCUUUUUGCUUGUUCAUUUUCUCCUUUGGCUUCUACUCAUCCUUCUAGAACAACCAUAAUUCCUUUCUUUUUCUGGUUUCCUUCAAAAGAAAUUUACUUCCCAUAUAUUUCAAACUUACUCAUUGUUUAAUUCUAAACCUUGAUAGGCUGCUUUUAUUCGAGCUGGAGGAUUUCUUUCUCUCCAUGCCUUCUGUAUAACUGAGGGAAAAAAUACAUCAAAAAGUAGAUGAGAUUAUAAACAAAUGAUCUUCUGCAAAAUGUAUGAAGAAUGAACUAGGGGAGUAAGCAGAGCUUUAGGUAACAUUUUCUUGAAUAUAUGAAACAAGAAAUUGGGUUAUUAGCGCACAUUAAUCAUAUGAGAAAUUUACAUGAAGUUUGGAAGCUUCA